rnacentral:lncRNA from 1 species
AUGGCCCAGAGCGUAGCGGGGCCCCGAGUGUCCCCCGCAGGGCGUCUCGGUGGCCCGGCUGCCCUGGGCCCACUCCGUCCAGCCCUCUCCUCUCCGCCGCGCCCUCCAGUUCUCGGCCGGACUCGAGACGAGUUAGCGGCCACCGAGCGUGGGACCUCGGCUCGGCACCCCGACUCACCGCCCAGCCGGGGCUGGGGACCCGCGCCCGGCUGUGUCACUAAACUUUCCCGGGCGCACAAGACCCGGAGAUGCCAAGCCUCCCCGACCCCCGCGCCCACCCGUGACCCCGUGGCCCGUGAGGCGGGACGGUCGCUUCACCUGCUAGUGGCUCGGAAGGGGCUCCCGCUGCUUUUCUCGCGUCCGGACCCGGGCGCCGCCCGGCGGGUUCCCGUGCAGCUGCCGCCGCCGCCGCCGCCGCCGCCGCUGCUGCCACCACCGGUGCCGCCGCCGCGCCUGCCCGGAGCUGCAGCGCCGCGGUUCGCCCGCAGCCUCGGGAGGAGCAAUCCCCCGCGCCUCCGGCUCGGCCCGCGGCUCCGAGGGGCCCCGCCGCCGCUGCCCCACCGCGUCCCUCUGCCCGGGGCCGGCACUCGCCCGCGCUGGGAGUCCGCACCUCGCGGCGCGGCGCUAGGCAUGCAACGAGCCUCCAGGAUGGGCGGGAAUUCCCUCCCUCCGGUGGAUCAGAGGGGCGGGAACUCCCUUCACGGAGUGACAGCCACGAGGGGCGGGGAUUCCCCUGCAGGAGUGACAAGGUGGGCGGGGAUUCCCCCGAGCCAGCAGCACCGAGGCCGGGGCGUCGCUCCUGGGGAGCCAGCAGUCCUGGGGCGCCGGCCUCAGAAAUCUGGGUAUCCUAGGGCGAGCGAAGGGGCCCAGGGAGACUGCCGCUCAGAAUUUCCAUCCAGGCGGCGCUUGGGGCGCCAUCCAGGUGGCGGAAGGCGAGCUAGGGGACUUGAGGUUGCCUUUGGUUGGCCCUUGACUUACUACCGAGAAAAAAUGUCAAUUGCCUUAUCAAAGAAUGGGCGGAAUUUGCCUUUCCUAAGGAGAUGGGGGAAGAGCUAG